GAUGAACGCUAGCGGCAGGCCUAAUACAUGCAAGUCGAGGGGUAGAAGAGGCUUGCUUCUUUGAGACCGGCGCACGGGUGCGUAACGCGUAUGCAACCUACCUUCAUCUGGGGGAUAGCCCGGAGAAAUCCGGAUUAAUACCGCAUAAAAUCACAGGAUGGCAUUAUCCAAUGAUCAAACAUUUAUGGGAUGGAGAUGGGCAUGCGUGUCAUUAGCUAGUUGGCGGGGUAACGGCCCACCAAGGCGACGAUGACUAGGGGAUCUGAGAGGAUGGCCCCCCAAACUGGUACUGAGACACGGACCAGACGCCUACGGGAGGCGGCAGUAAGGAAUAUUGGUCAAUGGAGGCAACUCUGAACCAGCCAUGCCGCGUGCAGGAAGACUGCCCUAUGGGUUGUAAACUGCUUUUAUUCGGGAAUAAACCUUAUUACGUGUAAUAAGCUGAAUGUACCGAAGGAAUAAGGAUCGGCUAACUCCGUGCCAGCCGCCGCAGUAA
rnacentral:rRNA from 1 species